CUUAACAGUCACGUUUCCUUAGAUGCAUUACGCGUCGCACUCCGGUUGCGCUCCUUGUUGUACACUUCAAGGCGCUUCCUAAUGCGUUAUCGCACUUACGCUCAGAGCCUUUGGCGACGAGCAGAACCGUGUUCCGUCCUCGGACAGUUCACCCUUCCUUGACUUAACCUCACGGGGGCAAGACGACCCGCUAGACUUAA
rnacentral:misc_RNA from 1 species